rnacentral:rRNA from 1 species
UCUAGAAGCUUCGGCAAUGGGGGAAACCCUGACCGAGCGACGCCGCGUGCAGGACGAAGGUCUUCGGAUCGUAAACUGCUUUCGCUGGGGGAGAAAUGCCUUGGGGUAAAUAAUCCCGAGGCUAGACGGUACCCAGUAAAGAAGCUCCGGCUAAGUCCGUGCCAGCAGCCGCGGUAAUACGGGCGGAGCGAGCGUUGUUCGGAUUCAUUGGGUGUAAAGGGUGCGAAGGCGGUCGUCUAAGUCGGAGGUGAAAUGUCUACGGCUCAACCGAGGCAUUGCCUCCGAUACUGGACGACUUGAGUGCGGAAGGGGAGCGUGGAAUUCCUGGUGUAGCGGUGAAAUGCGUAGAUAUCAGGAGGAACACCGGUGGCGAAGGCGACGCUCUGGUCCGCAACUGACGCUCAUGCACGAAAGCCAGGGGAGCGAACG